UACUAGACUGAUCGGAGGUCGGGCCGGGAGGGCGGGGGACGGAGGCGGGUCAUGGGCUGAGGGGGAGGGUAGACGAGUGGCGGAAACCCUCAGACCCAGAGAAGCAUCGAGAACCGGAAGGAGACCUUAGGAGGAAGAAGCCAGGGUGCAGUGAUUAGUGGGAAACACUGGAACCUACCAAUCAGGAACUCAACAUAAAGGGAGGACAAUGAAGAAGAUUCAAAGUAACCAGUUCCUGUUGCCCUAAUGUAACAAUCUUCAACGUAAAAGUACACUGAAACUUCACUGCUGUGCAACAAAGCACAGCACAGUGGGACAAAUUUGAGGUGACUUCUCAGAAUGAAUGGCAGGCUGUGGUCUAGCUAAUCCAACACUGACUGUCUAUUACUAGAAGGUCCAGGAAUCCAGUAGCUGUUCAGUCCACAAAGCUGGAUGUCUCAGCUGGAAUUCAGUGUACACUGACAUUCCAAAGUAGGCGCUAAUGCCAAAGAGAGCAAGAGCAAGCAAGCCAAGAGAGGUAAGCUUCCUUUUUCCAUAUCCUUUAUAUAGGCUGCCCAGAUUGGAGGUGGAUCUUCCCACCUCGAAAGAUCUGGAUUAAAAUUGAGCCUUCCCAUCUCAAAUAAUUCAAGAAAAAAAAAAUCCAUCAUAGGUGUACCCAGCAGAGUUUUGGUUAAUUUUAGAUAUACUCCAAUUGACAACCAAGAAAUAGCAACCACACCCAAGACAGCAGGAUUGCUGAAGUAAAAAACAAAAUAUUGGAAUGUUCCAGUUGUAGUGGUGUAUACAAGGUUAUAUUGGACUACCUGAGACUAUUUAGAAAAAAGAAAUAAAAGGGGCUGGAGAGAUGCUCAGUGGUUAAGAGCACUGGCUGUUCUACAGAGGACCUGAGUUUAAUUCCCAGAACCUACAUGGUGGUUCACAACAGUCUGUGGUUCCAGUCCAAGGCAUCUUCUGGUCUUCAUAGUUAUCAAGCAUGCAGGUGGUGCACAGACAUACAUUCAGGCAAAACACCCACACACUAAAAAUAUAUUUAAAAAGAAAAUAAAACAAGAUAAAAAUUUUGAAGGGAAUCUAAGAAAACAUCCCCAGUAAGAAUCUUAUAGUUAGUAGGACCAAGAACAUGUUUAUAACUUUUAUAAAAAGAAUAUUCAAGUGUAUGAGUGUUUUUGCCUGCAUUUAUGUCUGUGUACUGUGUGCAUCACUGGCACUUACAGAGGUAAAAAGAGGAUCUCAGAUCACCUGUGACUGAAGUUAAGGAUGGCUGUAAGCUAUCAUGUGGCAGUUAGCAACUGAACCUGUUGAGCCAUCUUUCCAGACCCAGGACUAUCUUUUUUUUAGUGUAGCUCUUGCUAUGCGACAGAAGUAGCUAGUAUAUGAUCCAUAUUUUUCUAAAUUUCAAGGCAAAAAAAGUUUUAGCCAUAUAAGCUUCCAUCAAAAAAAUAUCAAACCAGUAUCUACAAAUACUGCUAAGGGGAAGCUAAUCUCCCACAUACCCCAAACAAAAACAGUGUAAUUCGGUUUUAUAUGAAACUCAAAAAUAUACAAAACAACACAACUACAGUUGGUAGUAUUGCAAGUGUGGUUAUCAAGAAUACACAGUCUCUCUGGCUGUUAGGCAUAUCGUGUAUGUUGACAAAGGGUACUGAGUACACUCAACUGUAACCUAGCACUUGAACAUCUUAUUGUACUUUGAAGAGAGGGACAUCCUUUUUAUCCUAAAUGAAAAACUGUAGAGAUCUUAAGAAUGUCACUCAACAAAGCAUACUUUGCUCUUGUCAAAAUGAGUUAAAAGAAAUAAAUAGCCAAUGUCCUUUCUAAAAUGUUCUUCUUCACCUUACUCUA